AAGUAGGGGAUCGUAAGACCUUGCGCUUUUGGAGCGGCCGAUGUCUGAUUAGCUAGUUGGUGGGGUAAUGGCCUACCAAGGCUUCGAUCAGUAGCUGGUCUGAGAGGACGGCCAGCCACACUGGGACUGAGACACGGCCCAGACUCCUACGGGAGGCAGCAGUGGGGAAUUUUGGACAAUGGGCGCAAGCCUGAUCCAGCCAUGCCGCGUGAGUGAAGAAGGCCUUCGGGUUGUAAAGCUCUUUCAGCCGGGAAGAAAAGGUUGCGACUAAUAAUCGCAAUUCAUGACGGUACCGAAAGAAGAAGCACCGGCUAACUACGUGCCAGCAGCCGCGGUAAUACGUAGGGUGCGAGCGUUAAUCGGAAUUACUGGGCGUAAAGGGUGCGCAGGCGGUUUUGUAAGUCAGAUGUGAAAUCCCCGGGCUUAACCUGGGAACUGCGUUUGAAACUACAAGGCUAGAGU
rnacentral:rRNA from 1 species